GAUCCUGGCUCAGGACGAACGCUGGCGGCGUGCUUAACACAUGCAAGUCGAACGAAGAGCGAUGGAAGCUUGCUUCUAUCAAUCUUAGUGGCGAACGGGUGAGUAACGCGUAAUCAACCUGCCCUUCAGAGGGGGACGAACAGUUGGAAACGACUGCUAAUACCGCAUACGAUCUGACCUCGGCAUCGAGGAUAGAUGAAAGGUGGCCUCUAUUUAUAAGCUAUC
rnacentral:rRNA from 1 species